GACGAACGCUGGCGGCGGGCCUAAUACAUGCAAGUUGAGCGCUGAAGGUUGGUACUUGUACCAACUGGAUGAGCAGCGAACGGGUGAGUAACGCGUGGGUAAUCUGCCUUUUUUCGGGGGACAACAUUUGGAAACGAAUGCUAAUACCGCAUAAAAACUUUAAACACAAGUUUUAAGUUUUAAAGAUACAAUUGCAUCACUCAAAGAUGAUCCCGCGUUUUAUUAGCUAGUUGGUGGGGGAAAGGCUCACCAAGCCGAUGAUACAUAGCCGGCCUGAGUGGAGGAUCAGCCACACUGGAACUGAGACGCAGGCCAGACGCCCACGGGAGGCAGCAGUGGGGAAUAUUGGAAAAGGGGCGCAAGCCUAAACCAGCCAUACCGCGGGGGUGAAGAGGGCAUUCGGGUUGGAAAACCCGUUUGUAGAGAAAGAAAAGCAGCAGGUUAAUACCCCGCUGUUCUGACGGUACCCAAAAAAUAAGCACCGGCUAACUUCGUG
rnacentral:rRNA from 1 species